CACGUGUGUAGAUUCUCAAGGUUUUCUUUGUUUAUAUCUUGCUUUGGGUUGCACAAUAAAUUUGCGCAGGGGCUUUCAUAUAAAAAGGCGGGUUUGCUGUUCGUGCAAAUUCAUAACAAAACUGAACACUAUUGAAAUAGUCGGAAAAACUGAUAAAUACUAUUUAACCGUAAAUAUGGACAAAAAAGAUGUAAAUGCCCCACCAGCACAAGGAGCAGCUCAAACAGCAUCUUCGGGACAACAGGGAAAAGAUCCCGUACAUCAGAAUUGGUGGUAUGAAAGUCCAGAAAAGGGCUCUCCGUCAGGUUCUCCGAAAGGAGUAAGCUCGCCGGGUCUCGGAGGCGCAUUCUUACAAAAGGGUCAAAUCAAACCAGUUGAUAGCAGCCAAAACAUGUUUAAAGAAUUUGAUGAAUUCAACUAUUAAUUAUAAACGUGAUGAAUGUCUCAUUAGUGCUUUAUGUGUCUAACUCUAGGAAUCACGAGGAUUCGUUAUGAAUGAAUGUGUAAUAUAUUUGAAUGUAAGACUUCGAUUAGAUGGCCGUAUAAUUGUGUUUAAAACUGGAAUCGUGGUUUGAACAUAUUUUUGUUUGAUUAUUUGUGUUUUUCAGGUAUUCACAUUUACUUAGUAUUAUUAGUUUGUUUCAUUUUUGAAAUAAUUAAUAAAGAUAAUGAUAAAUUUAA